rnacentral:rRNA from 1 species
UACGUAGGGUGCGAGCGUUGUCCGGAAUUAUUGGGCGUAAAGGGCUCGUAGGCGGUUUGUCGCGUCGGGAGUGAAAACCUCGGGCUUAACUCGGGGCUUGCUUCCGAUACGGGCAGACUAGAGGCAGGCAGGGGAGAACGGAAUUCCUGGUGUAGCGGUGAAAUGCGCAGAUAUCAGGAGGAACACCGGUGGCGAAGGCGGGUCUCUGGGAAGUAACUGACGCUGAGAAGCGAAAGGCGUGGGUAGCGAACAGG